GUGGGGAAUAUUGGGCAAUGGGCGAAAGCCUGACCCAGCAACGCCGCGUGAGGGAAGAAGGCCUUCGGGUUGUAAACCUCUGUCCUUGGUGACGAAAAAAAUGACGGUAGCCAAGGAGGAAGCCCCGGCUAACUACGUGCCAGCAGCCGCGGUAAUACGUAGGGGGCGAGCGUUGUCCGGAAUUACUGGGCGUAAAGCGCGCGUAGGCGGUCCAUUAAGUGUGCGGUGAAAUUCGGAGGCUCAACCUCCGUCCCGCCGCGCAAACUGAUGGUCUUGAGAUUGGGAGGGGGAUGCGGAAUUCCUGGUGUAGCGGUGAAAUGCAUUGAUAUCAGGAGGAACACCGGCGGCGAAAGCGGCAUCCUGGCUUAUAUCUGACGCUGAGGCGCGAAAGCGUGGGUAGCAAACGGGAUUAGAUACCCCAGUAGUCC
rnacentral:rRNA from 1 species